UACGUAGGGCGCAAGCGCUGUCCGGAAUAUUGGGCGUAAAGAGCUCGUAGGCGGCCUGUUACGUCGGCUGUGAAAUCCCGAGGCUCAACCUCGGGUCUGCAGUCGAUACGGGCAAACUAGAGUAUUGCAGGGGAGACUGGAAUUCCUGGUGUAGCGGUGAAAUGCGCAGAUAUCAGGAGGAACACCGGUGGCGAAGGCGGGUCUCUGGGCAAUGAACUGACGCUGAGGAGCGAAAGCGUGGGGAGCGAACAGG
rnacentral:rRNA from 1 species